CGCAAUGGGCGCAAGUCUGACGGAGCGACGCCGCGUGGUCGAUGAAGUCCCUCUGGGACGUAAAGACCUUUUAUAGGGGAGAAAGUUUAUUGAUAGUACCCUAUGAAUAAGAGGUUGCUAAACUCGUGCCAGCAGCAGCGGUAAUACGAGUGCCUCAAGCGUUAUCCGGAAUUAUUGGGCGUAAAGGGUGUGUAGGUGGUCAGAUUAGUCUCCUGUCAAAUUCUUCGGCUUAACCGGGGGCUCGCGGGGGAAACGGUCUGACUUGAGGGUGCGAGGGGUGUGUGGAACUCAUGGAGUAGGGGUGAAAUCCGUUGAUAUCAUGGGGAACCCCAAAAGCGAAGGCAGCACCCUGGCGCCUUCCCGUCCCUGGAACACGAAAGCGU
rnacentral:rRNA from 1 species